AUGCCCCCAGGAGGAGGAGGAAGAGGAGGAGGAGGAGGAGAAGAAGGAGGAGGAGGAACGGGCGAACAAAGAUUCCGAGAGCAGGACCACCCACCGGCGACUGGCCACGAGUGCCGCGACGAGGAGGCCCCAUCCCGUUCGCCGCCGACGCCGUUGCUGCCUUACCUCGCUGUCACUCCGGUCGCCUCUCAGAACAAGAAGAUAAAACGGGAGGCCCAGGAUGAGCAGCAGGGGGAGGAGGAAACCCCGGCGAGCUUCCCGGAGGACGUUCUCGUUGAGAUCCUUUCGCGGGUGCCCUACACCUCGCUCUUCCACUUCAAGUGCGUGUCCAAACAAUGGCUCGCCCUCUGCUCCGACCCCGGAGUCCGCAAGAGGUCGCCGCAGACCUUGUCUGGUUUCUUCUUCUUCAAUCUCGGUUGGCGUUUCCAGAAUUUGUCCGGGAAAGAUCCUCCCAUUGUCGACCCCAAUCUCCGUUUCUUACGCGGCAGCUAUAAGUAUUUCAGCAUCCAACAGUGCAGCACCAGCCUUCUCCUUUGCAAAUGCUGGACAUCCCGCCGUCCUAGGCAAUACGGUUGGAAUUUUGUCCCGAAUCCAGGGCCGGGGCAAUGUUUUAAAUGGCCUGAGGCUAAGGAAUUCGAUUAUGUUGUCUGCAAUCCUGCUACUCAUCAAUGGACUGUGUUGCCUCCUAUAGAAUUGCCUGACGACCUUUCGCGUUUCAGCCUAGGCAAAUACUUCUUGAGCUUUGACCCGGCCACCCCGUCCCGCUUUGUGGUGUUUGUGCCCCUGACACAUAUUAUGAAUAUGGCCUGUCCGCGGCCAUGA
rnacentral:rRNA from 1 species